GUAUAUUUAGCACAUAUACUGAAAUUGGAACAAUACAGAGAAGAUUAGCAUGGCCCCAGCGCAAGGAGGAGAGGAGGACACGCAAAAUUUGUAGAUAUAUGU